rnacentral:rRNA from 4 species
AGCGAACGUAUCACUUAAAGCGAUUCAGCGGGUUACGAUUGACGGAGCGAAGCGACGUCAAAGCGUAUACAAAGUCGAGUCGGUUUAAGGAUACGUUCGUUGGGUAGGGGAGCGUUCUGUAAGCCUGUGAAGGUGGCCUGUGAGGGUUGCUGGAGGUAUCAGAAGUGCGAAUGCUGACAUAAGUAACGAUAAAGCGGGUGAAAAGCCCGCUCGCCGGAAGACCAAGGGUUCCUGUCCAACGUUAAUCGGGGCAGG